rnacentral:rRNA from 1 species
AAUACGUUCCCGGGCCUUGUACACACCGCCCGUCACACCAGAAAGUCGGCAACACCGAAGCCGGUGGCCUAACCCGUAAGGGAGGGAGCCGUCGAAGGUGGGGUUGGUGAUUGGGGUG